rnacentral:rRNA from 1 species
UACGUAGGGGGCAAGCGUUAUCCGGAUUUACUGGGUGUAAAGGGAGCGCAGACGGACGAGCAAGUCUGAAGUGAAACCCCACGGCCCAACCGUGGGCUUGCUUUGGAAACUGUUAGUCUGGAGUACUGGAGAGGCAGGCGGAAUUCCUGGUGUAGCGGUGAAAUGCGUAGAUAUCAGGAGGAACACCGGAGGCGAAGGCGGCCUGCUGGACAGAUACUGACGUUGAGGCUCGAAGGCGUGGGUAG